GACGAACGCUGGCGGCGUGCUUAACACAUGCAAGUCGAACGGUGAAGGGACCGGUUUUUGCUGGUUCUGGAUGAGUGGCGAACGGGUGAGUCACACGUGAGUAACCUGCCCCCUUCUUCUGGAUAACCGCAUGAAAGUGUGGCUAAUACGGGAUAUUUUGCGCCUGCUGCAUGGUGGGUGUGGGAACAAUAUUGUUUCGGUGGGGGAGGGGCUGGCGGCCUAUAAGCUUGUUGGUGGGGUGACGGCCUAGCAAGGCGGUGGCGGGUAGCCGGCCUGAGAGGGUGGACGGUCACACUGGGACGGAGACACGGCCCAGACUCCUACGGGAGGCAGCAGUGGGGAAUAUUGCACAAUGGGCGCAAGCCUGAUGCAGCGACGCCGCGUGAGGGAUGGAGGCCUUCGGGUUGUAAACCUCUUUCGCCAGUGAAGCAGGCCUGUCCCUUUUGUGGGUGGGUUGACGGUAGCUGGAUAAGAAGCGCCGGCUAACUACGUG
rnacentral:rRNA from 1 species